rnacentral:rRNA from 1 species
UACAGAGGGGCAAGCGUUGUUCGGAAUUACUGGGCGUAAAGGGCGCGUAGGCGGCCUUCUAAGUCGAACGUGAAAUCCCUGGGCUCAACCCAGGAACUGCGUCCGAUACUGGGAGGCUUGAAUCCGGGAGAGGGAUGCGGAAUUCCAGGUGUAGCGGUGAAAUGCGUAGAUAUCUGGAGGAACACCGGUGGCGAAGGCGGCAUCCUGGACCGGCAUUGACGCUGAGGCGCGAAAGCGUGGGGAGCGAACGAGGA